rnacentral:rRNA from 1 species
GACGUAGGGCGCGAGCGUUUGUCCGGAUUUAUUGGGCGUAAAGAGCUCGUAGGCGGCUUGUCGCGUCGUCCGUGAAAACUCACAGCUCAACUGUGAGCUUGCGGUCGAUACGGGCAGGCUUGAGUUCGGAAGAGGUGAGUGGAAUUCCUGGUGUAGCGGUGAAAUGCGCAGAUAUCAGGAGGAACACCAAUGGCGAAGGCAGCUCACUGGGACGAUACUGACGCUGGAGACGCGAAAGCGUGGGGAGCAAACAGG